rnacentral:rRNA from 1 species
GCAACCCUGACGGAGCAAGACCGCGUGGGGGAGGAAGGCCUUAGGGUUGUAAACCUCUUUUAUAUGGGAAGAAAAUACUGACGGUACCAUAUGAAUCAGCCUCGGCUAACUCCGUGCCAGCAGCCGCGGUAAUACGGAGGAGGCAAGCGUUAUCCGGAUUUAUUGGGCGUAAAGAGUCCGCAGGUGGCAAUUCCAGUCUGCUGUCAAAGACAGUAGCUCAACUACUGAUAGGCAGUGGAAACUGAAUCGCUAGAGAACGGUAGGGGCAGAGGGAAUUCCCGGUGUAGCGGUGAAAUGCGUAGAUUUCGGGAAGAACAUCGGCGGCGAAAGCGCUCUGCUGGACCGUAUCUGACACUCAGGGACGAAAGCUAGGGGAGCG